ACGGCGAGUGAAGCGGCAACAGCUUCAAUUUGAAAUCUGGCCCCCGGGCCCGAGUUGUAAUUUGCAGAGGAUGCUUUUGGCGAGGCGCCUUCCGAGUUCCCUGGAACGGGACGCCAUAGAGGGUGAGAGCCCCGUCUGGUUGGAUGCCGAGCCUCUGUAAAGCUCCUUCGACGAGUCGAGUAGUUUGGGAAUGCUGCUCUAAAUGGGAGGUAUAUGUCUUCUAAAGCUAAAUAUUGGCCAGAGACCGAUAGCGCACAAGUAGAGUGAUCGAAAGAUGAAAAGCACUUUGAAAAGAGGGUUAAACAGUACGUGAAAUUGUUGAAAGGGAAGCGCUUGUGACCAGACUUGGGCCCGGCGGAUCACCCAGCGUUCUCGCUGGUGCACUCCGGCGGGCCCAGGCCAGCAUCAGCUCGUCCCGGGGGACAAAGGCUCUGGGAAUGUGGCUCCUCCGGGAGUGUUAUAGCCCUCUGCGCAAUGCCCUGGGGCGGGCUGAGGACCGCGCAU
rnacentral:rRNA from 1 species